UCGAGACCUGUUUUAUUAUUUGGCAGACAGUUUGCUUUGUUAUGUAAAGGAUGCGGUUCGGAAGAACCGGAAAGAAAGAACGGAAAAAAUGUGGCUAGAUGUUAUAUAUUAACACAAAAAAAGUUAGUGACCCUUUGGUGAAAACUGUGGAUAUAUAAUCAAUUUGAGGAAAAUGAAUACAUCGUUGUAGCAGUCUGCUUUUGUUUUUUAAAGCUGAAUAAUAAUUUAUUUUUCACACAAAUUUACAGAUUGGACUGGAGAAUAAAUAUAUUUUUCCUAACUCCUUUUAUCAAAAAACAUCCAACUUGUUUUUAAUAUUUCUGGUGUACCGAAUGCAACUAAAAGCAGAAAGCGUAACUUCAGUUAAUAUUUUUGAAACCUCAACCUCAUGGCUUUUUGCAGCAGAUAAAUGUCUUUAGACAUUCUAGGCAGCAAAUAAAACUACAAGUAACCAUGGCUUUUUGCAGCAAGUGAAUUUCCGAAGAAGCAGAUAAGUAUCCAAACAAGAAACAAAUAUAUAGCCAAAUUGU